rnacentral:misc_RNA from 1 species
GAUGAAGAACGUAGCGAAAUGCGAUAAGUAGUGUGAAUUGCAGAAUUCAGUGAAUCAUCGAAUCUUUGAACGCACAUUGCGCCCCUUGGUAUUCCAUGGGGCAUGCCUGUUCGAGCGUCAUUUGUACCCUCAAGCUCUGCUUGGUGUUGGGGGUUUGUCCCGCCUUUUUGCGUGUGGACUCGCCUUAAAGCGAUUGGCAGCCGGCAUAUUGGCCUUGGAGCGCAGCACAUUUUGCGCUUCUCGUCAAUGAUUGUUGGCAUCCAGCAAGUACAAAUUCUAACUUUUGACCUCGGAUCAGGUAGGGAUACCCGCUGAACUUAAGCAUAUCAAUAAGCGGAGGA